rfam:Felis catus isolate Cinnamon breed Abyssinian chromosome F1, whole genome shotgun sequence.
AGAUAUGAAGGCAAUCUGGCUAUGACAUCUGUCACCCUAUUGAUUGCAGGAUUAAUUCAGCUGAUCUGACUGGCUGGGUGGGUGUUCCUUUUUUCUCUCACUACUUCAUGUGUCCCCUUCCCAAAGCUGCAAGCUUGGUCAAAGAGGACAACCUCCCCUGACAGAGGUGAACUGCUCUUUAUUCAAGAGUAUAUGAGUAGCUGUGCUUCCCUCUAGAACUUCCAAACAAGUGCUCAAGGUCCAUUUGUAGGAGAAUGUAGGUCAAGCAUCCAGAAUCAAUUUUGGCUCAGGUAGUGAUCUCAUGGUU